rnacentral:rRNA from 1 species
CUACGGGACGCAGCAGUGGGGAAUCUUGCGCAAUGGGCGAAAGCCUGACGCAGCAACGCCGCGUGCGGGAUGAAGGCCUUCGGGCUGUAAACCGCUUUCAGCAGGAACGAAAAUGACGGUACCUGCAGAAGAAGGAGCGGCCAACUACGUGCCAGCAGCCGCGGUGACACGUAGGCUCCAAGCGUUGUCCGGAUUUAUUGGGCGUAAAGAGCUCGUAGGCGGUUGAGUAAGUCGGGUGUGAAAACUCUGGGCUUAACCCGGAGACGCCAUCCGAUACUGCUCUGACUAGAGUUCAGGAGGGGAGUGGGGAAUUCCUAGGGUAGCGGUGAAAUGCGCAGAUAUUAGGAGGAACACCGGUGGCGAAGGCGCCACUCUGGACUGAAACUGACGCUGAGGAGCGAAAGCAUGGGUAGCAAACAGGAUUAGAUACCCGGUAGUC